GAUGAACGCUGGCGGCGUGCCUAAUACAUGCAAGUCGAGCGAACAGACUAGGAGCUUGCUCCUCUGACGUUAGCGGCGGACGUGUGAGUAACACGUGGAUAACCUACCUAUAAGACUGGGAUAACUUCGGGAAACCGGAGCUAAUACCGGAUAAUAUAUUGAACCGCAUGGUUCAAUAGUGAAAGACGGUUUUGCUGUCACUUAUAGAUGGAUCCGCGCCGCAUUAGCUAGUUGGUAAGGUAACGGCUUACCAAGGCAACGAUGCGUAGCCGACCUGAGAGGGUGAUCGGCCACACUGGAACUGAGACACGGUCCAGACUCCUACGGGAGGCAGCAGUAGGGAAUCUUCCGCAAUGGGCGAAAGCCUGACGGAGCAACGCCGCGUGAGUGAUGAAGGUCUUCGGAUCGUAAAACUCUGUUAUUAGGGAAGAACAAAUGUGUAAGUAACUAUGCACGUCUUGACGGUACCUAAUCAGAAAGCCACGGCUAACUACGUG
rnacentral:rRNA from 1 species